GAUGAACGCUGGCGGCGUGCUUAACACAUGCAAGUCGAACGGAAAGGCCUCUGCUUGCAGGGGUACUCGAGUGGCGAACGGGUGAGUAACACGUGGGCGAUCUGCCCUGCACUUCGGGAUAAGCCUGGGAAACUGGGUCUAAUACCGGAUAGGACAAUGGUUUGGAUGCUGUUGUGGAAAGAUUUUCGGUGUGGGAUGAGCUCGCGGCGUUUCAGCUUGUUGGUGGGGUAAUGGCCUACCACGGCGUCGAUGAGUAGCCGGCCUGUGAGGGUGUACGGCCACAUUGUGGCUGUGAUACGGCCCAGACUCUUCCGCGGGGCGGCACAGGGGGAUAUUGUGCAAUAUGCGCGAGCCUGAUGCGGCGACGCCGCGUGUGGGAUGUCAGCCUUCUGGUUGUAAACUCCUUUCGCUAGGGACGAAGCGUUUUUGUGACGGUACCUGGUGAAGAAGCACCGGCUAACUACGUG
rnacentral:rRNA from 1 species